rnacentral:rRNA from 1 species
AUUGAACGCUGGCGGCAGGCCUAACACAUGCAAGUCGGGCGGAUGAAGGGAGCUUGCUCCUGGAUUCAGCGGCGGACGGGUGAGUAAUGCCUAGGAAUCUGCCUGGUAGUGGGGGAUAACGUCCGGAAACGGGCGCUAAUACCGCAUACGUCCUGAGGUAGGAAGUGGGGGAUCUUCGGACCUCACGCUAUCAGAUGAGCCUAGGUCGGGUUAGCUAGUUGGUGGGGUAAGGGCCUACCAAGGCGACGAUCCGUAACUGGUCUGAGAGGAUGAUCAGUCACACUGGAACUGAGACACGGUCCCGACUCCUACGGGAGGCAGCAGUGGGGAAUAUUGGACAAUGGGCGAAAGCCUGAUCCAGCCAUGCCGCGUGUGUGAAGAAGGUCUUCGGAUUGUAAAGCACUUUAAGUUGGGAGGAAGGGCAGUAAGUUAAUACCUUGCUGUUUUGACGUUACCAACAGAAUAAGCACCGGCUAACUUCGUG